GACGAACGCUGGCGGCGUGCUUAACACAUGCAAGUCGAACGAAGUGGCGAACGGGUGAGUAACGCGUAAUCAACCUGCCCUUCAGUGGGGUACAACAGUUGGAAAUGACUGCUAAUACCUCAUACUCAAGUUGGGGAUUUCAUCUGAUUAGCUAGUUGGAGGGGUAACGGCCCACCAAGGCGAUUAUCAGUAGCCGGUCUGAGAGGAUGAACGACCACAUUGGGACUGAGACACGGCCCAGAAUCCUACGGGAGGCAGCAGUGGGGAAUCUUCCGCAAUGGACGAAAGUCUGACGCAGCAACGCCGCGUGGGUGAUGACGGCCUUCGGGUUGUAAAGCUCUGUUAAUCGGGACGCGGUACCGGAAUAGAAAGCCACGGCUAACUCCGUGCCAGCAGCCGCGGUAAUUC
rnacentral:rRNA from 1 species